rnacentral:rRNA from 1 species
GACGAACGCUGGCGGCGUGCCUAAUACAUGCAAGUCGAGCGAUGAAGAUUGGUGCUUGCACCAAUUUGAAGAGCAGCGAACGGGUGAGUAACGCGUGGGGAAUCUGCCUUUGAGCGGGGGACAACAUUUGGAAACGAAUGCUAAUACCGCAUAACAACUUUAAACAUAAGUUUUAAGUUUGAAAGAUGCAAUUGCAUCACUCAAAGAUGAUCCCGCGUUGUAUUAGCUAGUUGGUGAGGUAAAGGCUCACCAAGGCGAUGAUACAUAGCCGACCUGAGAGGGUGAUCGGCCACAUUGGGACUGAGACACGGCCCAAACUCCUACGGGAGGCAGCAGUAGGGAAUCUUCGGCAAUGGACGAAAGUCUGACCGAGCAACGCCGCGUGAGUGGAGAAGGUUUUCGGAUCGUAAAACUCUGUUGGUAGAGAAGAACGUUGGUGAGAGUGGAAAGCUCAUCAAGUGACGGUAACUACCCAGAAAGGGACGGCUAACUACGUG